rnacentral:rRNA from 1 species
GGAGGGUGCGAACGUUGCUCGGAGUUUACUGGGGCGUAAAGCGCGUGUAGGCGGACUCGCAAGUCGGUUGUGAAAACUCCCUGGGGCUCAACCUAGGGAACUGCAUCCGAAACUGCUUGUCUUGAGUAAUGGAGACGGGUGGCGGAAUUCCCGGUGUAGAGGUGAAAUUCGUAGAUAUCGGGAGGAACAUCAGUGGCGAAGGCGGCCACCUGGACAUUUACUGACGCUGAGACGCGAAAGCGUGGGGAGCAAACAGGAUUAGAUACCCUGGUAGUCCACGCCGUAAACGAUGAGGAACUAGGUGCAGCGGAUAUUGACCUCUGCUGUGCCGUAGCUAACGCGUUAAGUUCUCCGCCUGGGGAGUACGGCCGCAAAGGCUAA